CUAAAUUCUUUACCUCUCACGGUUCAAUGCUUGCGCACCGUGGUUCCUUGCCGACUUGCCGUCAGUGGGGGUGCCUGAUCGACGACGCUCUCUUGGAGUUCAAGGACAUCUGUUUCUUCUCAGUACUCGAUUUCAUGCUCAGGUUCACGUUUUCUCUACCGCUCGCUCUCGCUCUCGCUCUCGCUCUCAGACUCGUGCUCCAGAAGUCUUCCUUCGAAAUCUUCAACGGUAAUUUUUCAAUUUAUCCAAUAUCCUGUAAAUAAUCUUUCUAGUGCUUGUAUAUUUUUCUGGAAUGAUGGAAAAGGAAAUGGCUCUCGUGAGAUUUCUUCUUGCUUUGCUUUCACACUUUUGAGUUUAUUCUCAUUACUGUCUUAUAUUAGAGCCAAAUCACUAGUUAAGCAUAGGUCAAUGUCUAGUAUCCUAGGCUUUCCUCUGUUCUGUUUUGUGGCUUGCUGAAGAUGGGUGGUUGUCCCUUAUAGUUUUGUAAGGGGUUGUGGACUUUAUAAUUGUGUUGUUUUGAAAUAGUGGUUUGUUGUUUUUUGCUGUGCUGAGGGACAAAGAAAUUUCUAUUCUUGAAGGUUUUGUUUCUGGAAGAGAGUCUUGUGGGUUUCUAGUUGGCUAAGGCCUUUGUUUUGUGUUUUUCCUUUUCUUCCUUUUGUGCUGUGCUUUGUGAAUUUUCAAGUUGCAGGCUAGCCACUAAGGGCAUAUUGGUGUGAGGUUGGGUGCCAAAUAUGCGGGGUCUGUCCAAGUUGGUUCUUAUCACAUUUUAUCUGCGUGCUCUACUACGGCUGGAUCUCGCCACAGUGCCUACUUGCAUAUCUUAUUUGCCAUCUUGUGCACUGAGGAUUCCUUCCAACCUUUUCAAUACAUUCAUGCUACAAUGUCCGUGGAUCCAUUAUGAUCACUGUGCUGUCAAGUAAAGGUUUCUCUUAUGUUUGAUUUUGCAUGAUAUAAUUAGGCAAGCAUGAGCCUGGCCUUUUCUUAUUCUGAAUAAGGCUAAUCUUUGGUAAGAAUUUGUUGUUACUUUCUACUAGUAACAUGAAAGCAUCCCAAGAAUGUUAUGUAAAUCAUUGAGAAAAACACUCAGUUUAGUAUCUUGCCUGUUGAGUUUGGAAUUUAUCAUUUUAUUGUCUUCAUUUGUACUUACUUAAUGAAUUCUUCAAAUCUAUUCUCUUUUUCUUUUCAUUCUAGUGAAAGACCCUCUCUUAUUGCAUCUUCAGUUGUAAAACAAAAUUUACUGACAAGUUUGCAUCUUGCAGGAAGAGUUAAAAUCCUCUGAAGGCCUUCAAUCAGCUUCAAGAUGCUGCAAAGACAAGCAUCAUGUAUAGGUUGUUACAAGGAUAUGUUAAUAAAGCUGACAAAACUAGUGUAGUAGCUUGGGAAGGAACUCGACAAAGGACAAGUAGAGGGAAGGACUUUGAAGGAAGUAUUGAGACCAAUUGAUGACGGGUCUAAUUAAUCUGAAACUCCCAACAAAGAAGUUCUAGCAACUCCCAACAAAGAAGUUCUAGCAACUCCCAACAAAGCACCAACGGCAACCCCACUAGCUAUGAAGAAUUCAGAAUUGCUAACCCAGAUAAAUCUUGCUCUAAAAGAUCUAUAAAAGACAAAAGAACAAUUGAGAAGCUAAAAGAAGCACAAAGAGUAACUAAGGAAGCAAAUGAGAAACUUAUGGAGGCAUUGGUGGCUCAAAAACGGGUUGAGGAAGAUUCUUAAAUUGAGAAGCUCCGCAGUUUUGAAUCCGGACAUGCUGGAAUUGAAGCUAUUCAAAAGAUGGAAGAGGAUGGUAAAAAGAGCUUUGAAGGUGUAAGGAACCAGCAUGCUUACUAUGUGGCUUGAAAAUAAGUAACUUUUUUAGGGAAACUCUAAGUAAUUUUGGUAUUUUUUGUAUAGUUGUGAUCUUUAUGAAUUACAUGAAGCUUGUUGUUAAUGAAGAGUUGAUUCUUGAUUAAUGUUAUUUUCAUAUUUUGUUA